GCCGGGUUGGCCGAGCGGUUAGGCACCUAUCUUGUAAGUAGACCCACGGGGGUUCGAGUCCCUCACCCGGCA
rnacentral:tRNA from 1 species